rnacentral:rRNA from 1 species
GUGGGGAAUAUUGGACAAUGGGCGAAAGCCUGAUCCAGCCAUGCCGCGUGUGUGAAGAAGGUCUUCGGAUUGUAAAGCACUUUAAGUUGGGAGGAAGGGCAGUAAGUUAAUACCUUGCUGUUUUGACGUUACCGACAGAAUAAGCACCGGCUAACUUCGUGCCAGCAGCCGCGGUAAUACGAAGGGUGCAAGCGUUAAUCGGAAUUACUGGGCGUAAAGCGCGCGUAGGUGGUUUUGUAAGUUGGAGGUGAAAUCCACGGGCUCAACCUGGGAACUGCCUCCAAAACUACUGAGCUAGAGUACGGUAGAGGGUAGUGGAAUUUCCUGUGUAGCGGUGAAAUGCGUAGAUAUAGGAAGGAACACCAGUGGCGAAGGCGACUACCUGGACUGAUACUGACACUGAGGUGCGAAAGCGUGGGGAGCAAACAGGAUUAGAUACCCUAGUAGUCC